rnacentral:rRNA from 1 species
UACGGAGGGUGCGAGCGUUGUUCGGAAUCAUUAGGCGUAAAGCGCUUGAAGGCGGCUUGGCAAGUCGGGUGUGAAAUCCCGGGGCCCAACCCCGGAACUGCAUUCGAAACUGCCUCGCUCGAGUCCCGGAGAGGAAGGCGGAAUUCCCGGUGUAGAGGUGAAAUUCGUAGAUAUCGGGAGGAACACCAGCGGCGAAGGCGGCCUUCUGGACGGUGACUGACGCUGAGACGCGAAAGCGUGGGGAGCAAACAGG